rnacentral:piRNA from 1 species
UCUCAAUGAGACUGGCGACGAGC